rnacentral:tRNA from 1 species
GGAAAUAGUUUAGUGGUAGAGUAUAUACUUAGCAUGCACAAGGUCCUGGGUUCAAUCCCCAGUGUUUCCA